AAGAACAUAGGAUACUUUUUAUCCCGAAAUUCCCUCUGGAAAACUUUUAAGGCGAAGCGAAGCUCGCGGGAAAAGCUAGUUAUCUAUAUUUGCUUUUGAUUCUCAAUUUAUACUGCUGUCAUCAAAUGUUUUGUAUAAAUACUUAUUAUAAUAAUUAUACCUUUUUUUCACAGGAGAUGUUGAAGAUGAUAGAAGAAGAAGACCAUUACUGAUUGCUGAACCAAUAAGUAAUAUGCCACUAUUACAUAUGGAUGUACCUAGCACAUCACAAGGUUACAACAUGGACACAACUGAAAGACCUGUAGCUGCUGGUGGAAGAAUGAAGUCACAAUCUCGUCGCCGAUACAAGACUAUGACUGAAAACGAAAAAGCUCUUCUUAAGUUGUCCUCAAAGCUCCAAGCAAGAGUAAGGUUGUUGCAGAAACAGAAAAAUGCCACAAAACAUGAAAUUAAAAUUGUGAAGCAAAUGAAGAAACAAGAUGAGUUCAAAACUGUAUUCGCAGGAUUAAGUGAAGGAGCACAAACAUUUUUUGCAAUGCAAUUAUCGCAAACGGGUAAGAAACUGAAAGGAAGACGUUUCACAACGAAAGAAAAAAUAUUCUGCCUAGCUCUUUAUAAGCGCAGUCCUAAAGCGUACCGCUUUCUGAGCACUUUCUGCAUAUUGCCCAAACGAACAACCCUGCAGAAUCUUUUGCGAUCCGUACCGUUAACU